GACGAACGCUGGCGGCGUGCCUAAUACAUGCAAGUUGAGCGCUGAAGGUUGGUACUUGUACCGACUGGAUGAGCAGCGAACGGGUGAGUAACGCGUGGGGAAUCUGCCUUUGAGCGGGGGACAACAUUUGGAAACGAAUGCUAAUACCGCAUAAAAACUUUAAACACAAGUUUUAAGUUUGAAAGAUGCAAUUGCAUCACUCAAAGAUGAUCCCGCGUUGUAUUAGCUAGUUGGUGAGGUAAAGGCUCACCAAGGCGAUGAUACAUAGCCGACCUGAGAGGGUGAUCGGCCACAUUGGGACUGAGACACGGCCCAAACUCCUACGGGAGGCAGCAGUAGGGAAUCUUCGGCAAUGGACGAAAGUCUGACCGAGCAACGCCGCGUGAGUGAAGAAGGUUUUCGGAUCGUAAAACUCUGUUGGUAGAGAAGAACGUUGGUGAGAGUGGAAAGCUCAUCAAGUGACGGUAACUACCCAGAAAGGGACGGCUAACUACGUGCCAGCAGCCGCGGUAAUACGUAGGUCCCGAGCGUUGUCCGGAUUUAUUGGGCGUAAAGCGAGCGCAGGUGGUUUAUUAAGUCUGGUGUAAAAGGCAGUGGCUCAACCAUUGUAUGCAUUGGAAACUGGUAGACUUGAGUGCAGGAGAGGAGAGUGGAAUUCCAUGUGUAGCGGUGAAAUGCGUAGAUAUAUGGAGGAACACCGGUGGCGAAAGCGGCUCUCUGGCCUGUAACUGACACUGAGGCUCGAAAGCGUGGGGAGCAGACAGGAUUAGAUACCCUGGUAGUCCACGCCGUAAACGAUGAGUGCUAGAUGUAGGGAGCUAUAAGUUCUCUGUAUCGCAGCUAACGCAAUAAGCACUCCGCCUGGGGAGUACGACCGCAAGGUUGAAACUCAAAGGAAUUGACGGGGGCCCGCACAAGCGGUGGAGCAUGUGGUUUAAUUCGAAGCAACGCGAAGAACCUUACCAGGUCUUGACAUACUCGUGCUAUUCCUAGAGAUAGGAAGUUCCUUCGGGACACGGGAUACAGGUGGUGCAUGGUUGUCGUCAGCUCGUGUCGUGAGAUGUUGGGUUAAGUCCCGCAACGAGCGCAACCCCUAUUGUUAGUUGCCAUCAUUAAGUUGGGCACUCUAACGAGACUGCCGGUGAUAAACCGGAGGAAGGUGGGGAUGACGUCAAAUCAUCAUGCCCCUUAUGACCUGGGCUACACACGUGCUACAAUGGAUGGUACAACGAGUCGCGAGACAGUGAUGUUUAGCUAAUCUCUUAAAACCAUUCUCAGUUCGGAUUGUAGGCUGCAACUCGCCUACAUGAAGUCGGAAUCGCUAGUAAUCGCGGAUCAGCACGCCGCGGUGAAUACGUUCCCGGGCCU
rnacentral:rRNA from 1 species